rnacentral:rRNA from 1 species
UACAGAGGUCUCAAGCGUUGUUCGGAUUCAUUGGGCGUAAAGGGUGCGUAGGCGGCGCGGUAAGUCGGGUGUGAAAUCUCGGGGCUUAACUCCGAAACUGCAUUCGAUACUGCCGUGCUUGAGGACUGGAGAGGAGACUGGAAUUUACGGUGUAGCGGUGAAAUGCGUAGAUAUCGUAAGGAAGACCAGUGGCGAAGGCGGGGCUCUGGAAAGUUACUGACGCUGAGGCACGAAGGUCAGGGGAGCAAACGGG